rnacentral:rRNA from 1 species
AGAGUUUGAUCCUGGCUCAGAGCGAACGCUGGCGGCAGGCUUAACACAUGCAAGUCGAGCGGGCGUAGCAAUACGUCAGCGGCAGACGGGUGAGUAACGCGUGGGAACGUACCUUUUGGUUCGGAACAACUGAGGGAAACUUCAGCUAAUACCGGAUAAGCCCUUACGGGGAAAGAUUUAUCGCCGAAAGAUCGGCCCGCGUCUGAUUAGCUAGUUGGUGAGGUAACGGCUCACCAAGGCGACGAUCAGUAGCUGGUCUGAGAGGAUGAUCAGCCACAUUGGGACUGAGACACGGCCCAAACUCCUACGGGAGGCAGCAGUGGGGAAUAUUGGACAAUGGGGGCAACCCUGAUCCAGCCAUGCCGCGUGAGUGAUGAAGGCCCUAGGGUUGUAAAGCUCUUUUGUGCGGGAAGAUAAUGACGGUACCGCAAGAAUAAGCCCCGGCUAACUUCGUGCCAGCAGCCGCGGUAAUACGAAGGGGGCUAGCGUUGCUCGGAAUCACUGGGCGUAAAGGGUGCGUAGGCGGGUCUUUAAGUCAGGGGUGAAAUCCUGGAGCUCAACUCCAGAACUGCCUUUGAUACUGAGGAUCUUGAGUUCGGGAGAGGUGAGUGGAACUGCGAGUGUAGAGGUGAAAUUCGUAGAUAUUCGCAAGAACACCAGUGGCGAAGGCGGCUCACUGGCCCGAUACUGACGCUGAGGCACGAAAGCGUGGGGAGCAAACAGGAUUAGAUACCCUGGUAGUCCACGCCGUAAACGAUGAAUGCCAGCCGUUAGUGGGUUUACUCACUAGUGGCGCAGCUAACGCUUUAAGCAUUCCGCCUGGGGAGUACGGUCGCAAGAUUAAAACUCAAAGGAUUGACGGGGGCCCGCACAAGCGGUGGAGCAUGUGGUUUAAUUCGACGCAACGCGCAGAACCUUACCAGCCCUUGACAUGUCCAGGACCGGUCGCAGAGAUG